rnacentral:rRNA from 1 species
UGACGUUACCGACAGAAUAAGCACCGGCUAACUUCGUGCCAGCAGCCGCGGUAAUACGAAGGGUGCAAGCGUUAAUCGGAAUUACUGGGCGUAAAGCGCGCGUAGGUGGUUCAGCAAGUUGGAUGUGAAAUCCCCGGGCUCAACCUGGGAACUGCAUCCAAAACUACUGAGCUAGAGUACGGUAGAGGGUGGUGGAAUUUCCUGUGUAGCGGUGAAAUGCGUAGA